CAGCUUCUCACAUCGCGAUUCAUCCUGGUUUGAUUAGAAUGACGAAGAACUUGUUAUAUUCCCAAACAGGAAAACUGAAAUCACCUGAUUUGAAAGUGGGAUAACUUCUUCACCUUAACUCCUAUGAGAUUUAUUCAACUUCCUGGGAUUAUCCACUACUUUAUGUAUCCAAAUACAGCUUCUCACAUCGCGAUUCAUCGUGGUUUGAUUAGAAUGACGAAGAACUUGUCAUAUUCCCAAAUAGGAAAACUGGGAUCACCUGAUUUGAAAGUGAGAUAGCUUCUUCAUCCUAACUCCUAUGAGAUUUAUUCACUUUUGAGGGGAUUUUCACUACUUUAUGUAUCCAAAUACAGCUUCUUACAUCGCGAUUCAUCAUGGUUUGAUUAGAAUGACGAAG
rnacentral:lncRNA from 1 species